UGCCAGCCGCCGCGGUAAUACGGAAGGUGCGAGCGUUAAUCGGAAUUACUGGGCGUAAAGCGCACGUAGGUGGCUUGGUAAGUCGGAUGUGAAAGCCCUGGGCUCAACCUGGGAAUUGCAUUCGAUACUGCUUAGCUAGAGUAUGAGAGAGGGUAGUGGAAUUCCGGGUGUAGCGGUGAAAUGCGUAGAGAUCGGAAGGAACACCAGUGGCGAAGGCGGCUUGCUGGCCAAACAUUGACGCUGAGGUGCGAAAGCGUGGGUAGCGAACAGGAUUAGAUA
rnacentral:rRNA from 1 species